rnacentral:rRNA from 1 species
CCUACGGGGGGCAGCAGUGGGGAAUAUUGCGCAAUGGGCGAAAGCCUGACGCAGCGACGCCGCGUGAGGGAUGAAGGUCUUCGGAUCGUAAACCUCUGUCAGCAGGGAAGAACGGUCACUGUGCUAAUCAGCAGUGAAUUGACGGUACCUGCAAAGGAAGCACCGGCUAACUCCGUGCCAGCAGCCGCGGUAAUACGGAGGGUGCGAGAGUUAAUCGGAAUUACUGGGCGUAAAGCGCUCGUAGGCGGUAUGUCAAGUCAAGGGUGAAAUCCCCGCGCUCAACGUGGGAACUGCCUGUGAAACUGGCAAACUGGAGUGUGUGAGAGGAUAGUGGAAUUCCAGGUGUAGGGGUGAAAUGCGUAGAUAUCAGGAGGAACAUCAGUGGCGAAGGCGACUAUCUGGCACAUAACUGACGCUGAGGAGCGAAAGCGUGGGUAGCAAACAGGAUUAGAUACCCUUGUAGUC